rnacentral:rRNA from 1 species
CAGUAGCCGCGGUAAUACGAAGGGGGCUAGCGUUGCUCGGAAUGACUGGGCGUAAAGGGCGCGUAGGCGGUUGUCAUAGUCGGGUGUGAAAUUCCUGGGCUUAACCUGGGGGCUGCAUUCGAUACGUGGCGGCUUGAGUGGGGAAGAGGGUCGUGGAAUUCCCAGUGUAGAGGUGAAAUUCGUAGAUAUUGGGAAGAACACCGGUGGCGAAGGCGGCAACCUGGUCCUUGACUGACGCUGAGGCGCGAAAGCGUGGGGAGCAAACAGGAUUAGAUACCCGUGUAGUCCCUGUCUCUUAUAC